rnacentral:rRNA from 1 species
GAUGAACGCUGGCGGCGUGCCUAAUACAUGCAAGUCGAGCGAAUGGAUUAAGAGCUUGCUCUUAUGAAGUUAGCGGCGGACGGGUGAGUAACACGUGGGUAACCUGCCCAUAAGACUGGGAUAACUCCGGGAAACCGGGGCUAAUACCGGAUAACAUUUUGAACCGCAUGGUUCGAAAUUGAAAGGCGGCUUCGGCUGUCACUUAUGGAUGGACCCGCGUCGCAUUAGCUAGUUGGUGAGGUAACGGCUCACCAAGGCAACGAUGCGUAGCCGACCUGGGAGGGUGAUCGGCCAAACUAGGACUGAGACACGGCCCAGACUCCUACGGGAGGCAGCAGUAGGGAAUCUUCCGCAAUGGACGAAAGUCUGACGGAGCAACGCCGCGUGAGUGAUGAAGGCUUUCGGGUCGUAAAACUCUGUUGUUAGGGAAGAACAAGUGCUAGUUGAAUAAGCUGGCACCUUGACGGUACCUAACCAGAAAGCCACGGCUAACUACGUGCCAGCCGCCGCGGUAA